rnacentral:pre_miRNA from 1 species
GUGUGGAUGGUGUUCAGCACCAGGGACAGGUGUAUUUACCUGUGUGUGGAUGGUGUUCAGCUCCAGGGACAGGCGUGUUUACCU